rnacentral:rRNA from 1 species
CCUACGGGUGGCAGCAGUGGGGAAUAUUGCGCAAUGGGCGAAAGCCUGACGCAGCGACGCCGCGUGAGGGAUGAAGGUCUUCGGAUCGUAAACCUCUGUCAGCAGGGAAGAACGGUCACUGUGCUAAUCAGCAGUGAAUUGACGGUACCUGCAAAGGAAGCACCGGCUAACUCCGUGCCAGCAGCCGCGGUAAUACGGAGGGUGCGAGCGUUAAUCGGAAUUACUGGGCGUAAAGAGUUCGUAGGCGGCACGUAAAGUCUGGUGUUAAAGGCAGAGGCUCAACUUCUGUACGGCACUGGAUACUUGCGAGCUAGAAUGCGGUAGAGGUAAAGGGAAUUCCUGGUGUAGCGGUGAAAUGCUUAGAUAUCAGGAGGAACAUCGGUGGCGUAAGCGCUUUACUGGGCCGUAAUUGACGCUGAGGAACGAAAGCCAGGGUAGCAAAUGGGAUUAGAUACCCCAGUAGUC